rnacentral:snRNA from 1 species
GUGCUCGCUCCAGCAGCACAUAUACUAAAAUUGGAAAGAUACAAAGAAGAUUAGCAUGGCCUCUGCACAAGGAUGACACGCAAAUUCGUGAAGCGUUCCAUCUUCUU